CCAAGGAGUGAUUUGGGGCCUGGUUCCAGGAAAUGGAGCUGCUCAACGAGAAUGAGAUCUACAGCCUGUCCUGCCAGCUGGAGCCCCAGACCUAGUUAGCCAGCAGAAUACUCAAGGCCAAGAAGAACCGGCCAUCAUCAAGGUCAGGGCCCCCAGGCCCCAACACCGAGCCCCGUACCAGUGGCCGAUCAAGCCCCAUCCUCAGCAGCGGGGACACAGCU